GAUGAACGCUAGCUACAGGCUUAACACAUGCAAGUCGAACGAGAAUCUACUGAAAGAGUUUUCGGACAAUGGAAGUAGAGGAAAGUGGCGGACGGGUGAGUAACGCGUGAGGAACCUGCCUUGAAGAGGGGGACAACAGUUGGAAACGACUGCUAAUACCGCAUGAUGCAUAGGGGUCGCAUGAUUCUUAUGCCAAAGAUUUAUCGCUUCAAGAUGGCCUCGCGUCCGAUUAGCUAGUUGGCGGGGUAACGGCCCACCAAGGCGACGAUCAGUAGCCGGACUGAGAGGUUGAACGGCCACAUUGGGACUGAGAUACGGCCCAGACUCCUACGGGAGGCAGCAGUGGGGAAUAUUGGGCAAUGGGCGCAAGCCUGACCCAGCAACGCCGCGUGAAGGAAGAAGGCUUUCGGAUUGUAAACUCCUGUUGUUGAGGAAGAUAAAUGACGGUACUCAACAAGGAAGUGACGGCUAACUACGUG
rnacentral:rRNA from 1 species